rnacentral:rRNA from 1 species
GAUGAACGCUGGCGGCGUGCCUAAUACAUGCAAGUCGAGCGAACAGACGAGGAGUUUGCUCCUCUGGGGUUAUCGGCGGACGGGUGAGGAACACGUGUAUAACCUAGCUAUAAGACUGGGAGAACAUCGGGAAACAGGAGCUAAUGGCGGAUAACAUGUCGGAGAGCAUGGUUCAACAGUGAAAGAAGGUCUUGCGGUGACUAAUAGAUUGAUAAGCGCCGCAUUCGCUAGUUGGUAAGGUAACGGCUUAGCAAGGCAACGAUGCGUAGCCGACCUCAGAGGGUCAUCCGCUACACUGGAACUGAGGCACGUCCCCGACUCCUACGGGGAGCCGCAGUCGAGACUCUUCCGCGAUGCACCAAAGCCUGACGGAGCACCACGGCGUGAGUGCAGAACGUCCUCGGAUCGUAAAACUCUGUUAUUCGGGGAGAACAAAUGCGCAAGUAGCUAUGCACGUAUUGACGGUACCUACACAGAAAGCCCCGGCUAACUCCGUG